GCUCAUUGAUUGUAGAACCGAUUGGCCCAAAAGAACCGCCCUCCACGUCGAGGUCUGCAGUAUUAGUUGUUUUCAUGGAUAUUAAAUCUAUACAGGUUGGUAAUUUUUUUUAUUUAUCAUAAUGGUUUUUUGUGUUGACAUUUAAUUUUUCUAAAAAUUAAUUUUAUGUAAUUGGUUUGGAAAUCUUCUGUUUAGGUCAUGGUCAGUAUUAUGUCUUCCACAGUGUCACUACCUAUUUGUUUAGAACGUUGAUGAAACCACAAAUGUUAAGUUUAUUUAAAUAUAAUUUUCUCACAGUUGUUUUCUCUUAUGAUAAUUCACGUUUUUUUUUUUUUUGUUUUGCUUCUCUUUUCCAGAUGAUGUUUUUUGUCUCAUCCCAUGUAUUACAGCCUUCCAUAAGGAUGGUGGU